CGGGUCCUGGGGGCAUGCUUGGUGGCGGGACCCUGGGGGCCCAGACCUUGAGCUGUGUUAGGGGCCCCAAAAUGUCUGAUGGCGACCCUGUCUGUAUUGAAUCUCAUCUGCCACUUGAAAGCCCAGUCCCUUAAUGUAUCCAAAUGAUUUAGACAAGCUAUAUCAUGUUCAGACUGUAUUAUCAAACACGAACAAAUUAUUUCAAUGCCCACUUCAAC